rnacentral:tRNA from 1 species
UGCUUGGGUAGCUCAGUUGGUAGAGCGCUUGCCCGCAAAAGGCAAAGGUCCCGAGUUCGAGUCUCGGUCCGGCAC